GAAGACUAGAUUAAAUAUGACAUGGUGCCAUGUUCCUGAACUGUAACUGUAUGAAAGCAAAGGGAUGCCUUGCUGGGUUGGGGAGCGAAGAGAAGAUUGGAAAUGGAGUGAUUACACAUAUGGAGAAACCAUAACAGAUCUGUAAGGAGUUUUGUGGAGUUACUGAAACACCUCUAUGCCUCCUUACAUACAUCAAACAGCGAUGAUGCUGUCCAGCUCCACACAUGACUGCUACUGACUGAGCACUGAAUGGACUGUAGCAACCCAACCAGGAUGUGCCCUGCCUCUCACCUGAUAGCAACUGGGAUACGCUCCAGCCUACCUCAACCUUGGACUGGAAUAAGUGAAUACUAAAAAAAUAGAUGGAUGGUGGUGUCUACAGAGACAAAGGUGCAAAUUAAUCUAACCCUGAGCUAAUGGCCCAAGGAAUUUCGAUUUUCCAAACCCAGAUACUGUUCGUCAUAGUAAAACCAAAUGCACAUACAAUAUAUCUUGUAUGUGCUGCCACUUUAUCUUAGGUUUAGUUUGAGAAACAUUGGCUAAAAAAUUGAAUUGCCAGUAAUUCAGCAGCACUAUGACACUUAAAUUACACUACAAAUCCACAAUUCAUUUAACUCCUGAAUCAUAAUGGAGGAUCUGUAUGGAUCAUGAAUCAGUUAUGUUCAAUUACACAACAAUCAACAUGAACUAUAAAUUAAACUAAAAACUCAAAGUUUUGAACCAAAACAUGGACAAUAAAACUGAGGAAGUAGCCACUUAAAACCAAACUUUUAAACAGUGAUAUGGGUCGCUUCAACAUCAAACCCCUAAAACCUUCAGAGACAGGUUUUAUAUCUUCGAGGUGUUUUUUAAUCCUGUAGAGACACAGCUUAAAAAAAGCAGGUCAGUUAUACUUGUUUUUCCAGCAAAAGUCACAUGAAGACAGCUUAUUUACAACUUAACUUCACAUUAUCAGUGUCACACAUGCAGAUGUAGCUAAGUAAAUUAAAACUGCACAUGACAAUUCAGGAGACACCAUUAAACCUGAAAACUAAUCUUUGUCACAGUAACCUUGUGUGCAAUGAAAUUUUGGAGAAGAAUAAAAUUACUUUCAUCUUCUUCAGAGUGCAUGAGUCAUUUCAACAGUUGAUUCAAA